GACGAACGCUGGCGGCGUGCUUAACACAUGCAAGUCGAACGGAAAGGCCCUGCUUGCAGGGUACUCGAGUGGCGAACGGGUGAGUAACACGUGGGUGAUCUGCCCUGCACUUCGGGAUAAGCCUGGGAAACUGGGUCUAAUACCGGAUAGGAGCCAUUUUUAGUGUGAUGGUUGGAAAGUUUUUUCGGUGUAGGAUGAGCUCGCGGCCUAUCAGCUUGUUGGUGGGGUAAUGGCCUACCAAGGCGGCGACGGGUAGCCGGCCUGAGAGGGUGGACGGCCACAUUGGGACUGAGAUACGGCCCAGACUCCUACGGGAGGCAGAAGUGGGGAAUAUUGCACAAGCGGCGCAAGCCUGAUGCAGCGACGCCGCGGGGGGGAUGACGGCCUUCGGGUUGUAAACUCCUUGCGCUAGGGACGAAGCUUUUUGUGACGGUACCUAGAUAAGAAGCACCGGCUAACUACGUG
rnacentral:rRNA from 1 species